AUGUCCGGCCUGAGCGCGCCGCCGUUCGACGGCCUCGCGUCGGGGCCCGAUCCGUGGGACGUCGUCGUCAAGGUCAAAUAUGGUGACACACUUAAGAGGUUCAAUGGUUAUGUCAACGGAACGCACUUCACUUUGAAUCUGUCUGCUCUCCGUUCCAAAAUUGCAAGUGCUUUUAAGUUUGCCCCUGAUGCUGACUUCAUUCUCACUUACACUGAUGAGGAUGGGGAUGUUGUUAUGCUGGAUGAUGACGAGGACUUGCAUGAUGCAGCUAUCCAUCAGAAAUUGAACCCUCUAAGGAUUAAUGUUCAGUUAAAGAAUAGCCACGCUGGGGCAUCUCACAUUAACCGGCAGGAUUCAAGCCCUAAACCUCUUGAGGCCACCACUCAGGAUCCGAUAGCUCAGAUCAAAUCUGUUAUUGAUGAAGCUUUAAAGCCCAUAUCAGAACCUUUGAGAUCCACUGCAAGGGAAGAUCCACUAGCUCACUUAAAAUCAGCUCUUGAUGAAGCUAUGAAGUCUAUCCAUGAGCCAGUUCCUGAAUCCCUUGCAAAACUGUCACGUGAAGUACUUGAUGCAGCACCACCACAAUUAACUGAUCUGAUAAAACCUUUCGUGAACUUGAUCACAUCAACCAACAGUAGCCAAUCUGCUGGGCAUGCUGAGAGUUCACCUGGCUCCUCCAGGGGUGUGCAGCAAGCACGGGUUGAUCUCAAAGCUGAUGGUCAGCCUAAAGUUGAGGCAAGUUUGGGUUCACGACCUUUGAAUGAACGAAACCCUGUAUCAUCUGAGACAGGAGGUCUUAAGAGUGUGUUGGUUGAAGUUCCCGCUGCAGUCAUCACUGAAGCCUCUCAAGGCCACCAAGGAUCGUUAUAUCCUUCUGUUGAGGAUUUGCUGUACACCUCCAAUUCCGGUGGUAACAGUUCUGGUUGCAAGGAUAUGACUGAUGCUCAAAGUAAGGGGAAGUCUGUCAUGCCCUCUGCUGAACCACUCGCUCGUAACACUGUUCCCAGUUUUCGUCCAAGUCAUCCAAAUGCAUCUGGAAAUGAAUGGUUCCAGACACGAAGAUCGGUGGAUGGAUGGUCCCAGCCGAGAUCCAUUUGGCAACCUGAAACUAAUGUCAAACCAGCUAGUGAUCCUGGAUGGCGUGUUCCAAUGUAUAAAGCGCCUCACCCAUCCCCACCAGUUCCCCAUGCACCCUUGGGCUAUGGACAUUCUCCACAAUUUCCUUACCCUGGCCGUCUGCUAUCUGCUGGGCGUCUGUAUGGGAAUCUUGGUAAUAACAGUGAGAGGUCACCACGAAUUUCACAUAGGUGGAUUCAGUGUGAUGGUUGUGGAGUUCAACCAAUUGUUGGGCCACGCUACAAGUCUAAUGUGAAAGAAGAUUAUGAUCUGUGUGAUACCUGCUUCUGUCGUAUGGGCAGUGAGGUUGAGUACACAAGAAUAGACAAGCCGAUCCUGCCACACAAGUUAUCUCGGGACCCUAAUUUGUGCCGGAAAAUCCAUUCACGUGCUCCAAUGAAGUCAAAGCGUGAGAAGCUCGAAAGCCGCUUCAUUUUGGAUGUAACGGUGCUGGAUGGCACACUUAUGUCACCUUCAAGCCCGUUCACUAAGAUUUGGCGCAUGCACAACAAUGGGUCUAUCAUGUGGCCCUUGGGCACACAGCUAAUUUGGGUGGGUGGAGAUCAAUUUGCACUGCAGACCUCUGUCCCACUAGAGAUUCCAUUGAAUGGAUUUCCGGUGGAUCAAGAGAUGGAUGUUGCUGUUGAUUUUGUGGCACCUGCAAGGCCUGGGAGGUAUAUAUCUUACUGGAGACUGGCAUCACCUUCUGGUCAAAAAUUUGGUCAGCGAGUUUGGGUUCAUAUCCAGGUGGAAGAUCCAUCUUUUGUCAGUGACAACAAGACUGCUGCUGUUAACUUGAAUCAGCCUCAGGAAAGCAACAUCACAAACACAAGUAGUCUGCCUCAGGAAAGCAACAUGACAAACACAAGUAAUUUGAUUGAUGUCAACAUGGAGCCUGCUAACCAAGUCCUAGAUGAACAUGUCAACGGCACUAGAAUGGAACUGCUGGAGCCUUCGAUAUACCGUGAAGCUGCUGAGCCCAAGAAAUCCCCCUCAGCAUUUUCAGCAGCUCCUCCAUACCCCAUGGUCGAUGUUCCGUCAUCCAGUGAAAAUGCAGCUGCUUUUGUGCCAAGUGUUACUGUACUUGCACCUGAAGUCAUUCCGAGACCUGCUGUGACUACACCUGCUGAUGUGCCCACAAGUUCGCUUACUAGUAUCCCUGUGGAUCUACCUGUAGCUGCAACCACACCUGUGGAUGUAGCAUCUGCGCCGCUUGACAUCGACAGUCUUACAGAAGAGAAACUGCUGCAGGAGCUGGAGGAAAUGGGCUUUAAGCAGGUUGAUCUGAACAAGGAGAUACUGAGGCAGAAUAAAUACAACCUGGAGCAGUCCGUGGAUGAUCUGUGUGGUGUCAAUGAAUGGGACCCUCUGCUGGCGGAACUGAAUGAAAUGGGAUUUGAUGACAGGGAGACGAACAAGGAGCUGCUUGCCAAGAAUGGAGGAAGCAUCAAACGAGCUGUGAUGGACCUCAUCGCCAGGGAGAAGAAGGACAAGUGA
rnacentral:rRNA from 1 species